UACAGAGGGUGCAAGCGUUAAUCGGAAUCACUGGGCGUAAAGGGCUCGUAGGUGGCCAACUAAGUCAGACGUGAAAUCCCUCGGCUUAACCGGGGAACUGCGUCUGAUACUGGAUGGCUUGAGUUUGGGAGAGGGAUGCGGAAUUCCAGGUGUAGCGGUGAAAUGCGUAGAUAUCUGGAGGAACACCGGUGGCGAAGGCGGCAUCCUGGACCAACACUGACACUGAGGAGCGAAAGCCAGGGGAGCAAACGGG
rnacentral:rRNA from 1 species